GAUGAACGCUAGCGGCAGGCUUAACACAUGCAAGUCGAGGGGUAACAGAGAGUGCUUGCACUUUGCUGACGACCGGCGCACGGGUGAGUAACGCGUAUACAAUUUACCUUAUACAGGGGGAUAGCCUUUAGAAAUGAAGAUUAAUACCCCAUGGUUUAUUAGAAUCUCCUGAUUUUAAUAAUAAAGAUUUAUCGGUAUAAGAUGAGUAUGCGUUCUAUUAGCUAGAUGGUAAGGUAACGGCUUACCAUGGCAACGAUAGAUAGGGGCCCUGAGAGGGGGAUCCCCCACACUGGUACUGAGACACGGACCAGACUCCUACGGGAGGCAGCAGUGAGGAAUAUUGGGCAAUGGAGGCAACUCUGACCCAGCCAUGCCGCGUGCAGGAAGACUGCCCUAUGGGUUGUAAACUGCUUUUAUAGAGGAAGAAACCCUCCCACGUGUGGGAGGCUGACGGUACUCUACGAAUAAGGACCGGCUAACUCCG
rnacentral:rRNA from 1 species